rnacentral:rRNA from 1 species
CUACGGACCGACAGCAAUAUGAAGGCCAGGCUGAAGACUCUACUUGACUAGCUGAGAGGAGGUGCAUGGCCGUCGUCAGUUCGUACUGUGAAGCAUCCUGUUAAGUCAGGCAACGAGCGAGACCCACGCCAACAGUUGCCAGCUCGUCCUCCGGGAUGGUGGGGACACUGUUGGGACCGCCUCUGCUAAAGAGAGGAAGGAAUGGGCAACGGUAGGUCAGCAUGCCCCGAAUUAUCUGGGCUACACGCGGGCUACAAUGGGUGGGACAAUGGGUAUCGACACCGAAAGGUGAAGGCAAUCUCCUAAACCCAUCCGUAGUUCGGAUUGUGGGCUGCAACUCGCCCACAUGAAGCUGGAAUCUGUAGUAAUCGUGUCUCAAAAUGGCACGGUGAAUAUGUCCCUGCUCCUU